rnacentral:rRNA from 1 species
UCGGGAAUUUUGGGCAAUGGGCGAAAGCCUGACCCAGCAACGCCGCGUGAGGGAUGAAGGCCUUCGGGUCGUAAACCUCUUUUCUCAGGGACGAUGAUGACGGUACCUGAGGAAUAAGCCACGGCUAACUACGUG